AGUUUAAGGCAUUUUGGAACUUUUAAAAGACCCGCAAGGGUAUGCUAAGAGAUGGGCUUGCGGCACAUUAGUUAGUUGGUAAGGUAACGGCUUACCAAGACUAUGAUGUGUAGCUGGACUGAGAGGUUGAACGGCCACAUUGGGAUUGAGAUACGGCCCAAACUCCUACGGGAGGCAGCAGUAAGGAAUUUUCGGCAAUGGAGGAAACUCUGACCGAGCAACGCCGCGUGAACGAUGAAAUAUUUAGGUAUGUAAAGUUCUUUUAUUAAAGAAGAAAAAAUGAUGGAAAAAUCAUUCUGACGGUAUUUAAUGAAUAAGCCCCGGCUAACUAUGUGCCAGCAGCUGCGGUAAUACAUGGGGGGCAAGCGUUAUCCGGAUUUAUUGGGCGUAAAGGGUGUGUAGGCGGUUUAAUAAGUCUAUGGUAUAAGUUCAACGCUUAACGUUGUGAUGCUAUGGAAACUGUUUGACUAGAGUUGGAUAGAGGCAAGUGGAAUUCCAUGUGUAGCGGUAAAAUGCGUAAAUAUAUGGAGGAACACCAGUAGCGAAGGCGGCUUGCUGGGUCUUAACUGACGCUGAGGCACGAAAGCGUGGGGAGCAAACAGGAUUAGAUACCCUGGUAGUCCACGCCGUAAACGAUGAGUACUAAGUGUUGGGUUAAACCAGUGCUGAAGUUAACACAUUAAGUACUCCGCCUGAGUAGUACGUACGCAAGUAUGAAACUUAAAGGAAUUGACGGGACUCCGCACAAGCGGUGGAUCAUGUUGUUUAAUUYGAAGAUACACGAAAAACCUUACCAGGUCUUGACAUACUCUGCAAAGCUAUAGAAAUAUAGUGGAGGUUAUCAGGGAUACAGGUGGUGCAUGGUUGUCGUCAGCUCGUGUCGUGAGAUGUUGGGUUAAGUCCCGCAACGAGCGCAACCCUUAUCGCUAGUUACCAUCAUUUAGUUGGGCACUUUAGUGAGACUGCCAAUGAUAAAUUGGAGGAAGGUGGGGAUUACGUCAAAUCAUCAUGCCCCUUAUGACCUGGGCUACAAACGUGAUACAAUGGCUGUUACAAAGAGUAGCUGAAGCGUGAGUUUUUAGCAAAUCUCAAAAAAACAGUCUCAGUUCGGAUUGAAGUCUGCAACUCGACUUCAUGAAGUC
rnacentral:rRNA from 1 species